rnacentral:rRNA from 1 species
UAGGGAAUCUUCGGCAAUGGACGAAAGCCUGACCGAGCAACGCCGCGUGAGUGAAGAAGGUUUUCGGAUCGUAAAACUCUGUUGUUAGAGAAGAACAAGGACGUUAGUAACUGAACGUCCCCUGACGGUAUCUAACCAGAAAGCCACGGCUAACUACGUGCCAGCAGCCGCGGUAAUACGUAGGUGGCAAGCGUUGUCCGGAUUUAUUGGGCGUAAAGCGAGCGCAGGCGGUUUCUUAAGUCUGAUGUGAAAGGCCCCGGCUCAACCGGGGAGGGUCAUUGGAAACUGGGAGACUUGAGUGCAGAAGAGGGGAGUGGAAUUCCGUGUGUAGCGGUGAAAUGCGUAGAUAUAUGGAGGAACACCAGUGGCGAAGGCGGCUCUCUGGUCUGUAACUGACGCUGAGGCUCGAAAGCGUGGGGAGCAAACCGG